CAGUAGCUCAGCUGGAUAGAGCAACGGCCUUCUAAGCCGUGGGUCGCAGGUUCGAAUCCUGUCUGA
rnacentral:tRNA from 1 species